rnacentral:rRNA from 1 species
AACGAACGCUGGCGGCAUGCCUAACACAUGCAAGUCGAACGAGACCUUCGGGUCUAGUGGCGCACGGGUGCGUAACGCGUGGGAACCUGCCCUUAGGUUCGGAAUAACUCCCCGAAAGGGGUGCUAAUACCGGAUAAUGUCUUCGGACCAAAGAUUUAUCGCCUUUGGAUGGGCCCGCGUUGGAUUAGCUAGUUGGUAGGGUAAAAGCCUACCAAGGCGACGAUCCAUAGCUGGUCUGAGAGGAUGAUCAGCCACACUGGGACUGAGACACGGUCCAGACUCCUACGGGAGGCAGCAGUGGGGGAUAUUGGAAAGUGGGCGAAAGCCUGAUCCAGCAAUGCCGCGUGAGUGAUGAAGGCCUUAGGGUUGUAAAGCUCUUUUACCCGGGAUGAUAAUGACAGUACCGGGAGAAUAAGCUCCGGCUAACUCCGUG